rnacentral:rRNA from 1 species
UCCCCUGGCAUUCUGAUCCCGGAUUACUAGCGAUUUCAGCUUCAUGAAGUCGAGUUGCAGACUUCAAUCCGAACUACGACUGGCUUUUUAGAUUGGCUCCCCCUCGCGGGUUUGCAGCUCAUUGUACCAGCCAUUGUAGCACGCCUGUUGCCCAAGACGUAAGGGGCAUGAUGAUUUGACGUCAUCCCCACCUUCCUCCGGUUUAAUACCGGCAGUCUCAUUAGAGUUCUCAACUGAAUGUUAGUAACUAAUGACAAGGGUUGCGCUCGUUAGCGGACUUAACCGAACAUCUCACGACACGAGCUGACGACAACCAUGCACCACCUGUCACCCGGGUAACCUCCACUAUAUUUCUAUAGCUUUGCCGGGGAUGUCAAGUCUUGGUAAGGUUUUUCGCGUAUUGUCGAAUUAAACGGCAUGCUCCACCGCUUGUGCGGGUGCCCGUCAAUUCCUUUGAGUUUCAGUCUUGCGACCGUACUACUCAGGCGGAGCACUUAAUGUGUUAACUUCAGCACCGGUUGCCCGACACUUAGUGCUCAUCGUUUACGGCGUGGACUACUAGGGUAUCUAAUCCUAUUUGCUCCCCACGCUUUCGUGUCUCAGCGUCAGUAACAGCCCAGCAAUUCGCCUUCGCCACUGAUGUUCCUCAUAAUAUCUACGCAUUCCACCGCUACACUAUGAAUUCCAAUUGCCUCUACUGCACUCUAGUCUGCCAGUAUC